rnacentral:rRNA from 1 species
UGAGGAAUAUUGGACAAUGGGGGCAACCCUGAUCCAGCCAUGCCGCGUGAGUGAAGAAGGCCUUAGGGUUGUAAAGCUCUUUCAAUCGUGAAGAUAAUGACGGUAGCGAUACAAGAAGCCCCGGCUAAAUUCGUGCCAGCAGCCGCGGUAAUACGAAUGGGGCAAGCGUUGUUCGGAAUCACUGGGCUUAAAGCGUGCGCAGGCGGACUUGAAAGUCAGAAGUGAAAUCCUGGGGCUCAACCCCAGAACUGCUUUUGAAACUCCAAGUCUAGAAUCCGGGAGAGGUUGGGAGAAUUCCUAGUGUAGAGGUGAAAUUCGCAGAUAUUAGGAGGAAUACCAGUGGCGUAGGCGCCCAACUGGACCGGUAUUGACGCUCAGGCACGAAAGCGUGGGGAGCAAACAGGAUUAGAUACCCCCGUAGUCC